UCCUUCUGAGAUUGCUGCCUUCCC
rnacentral:piRNA from 1 species